CAGCCAUUUUGACCACAAGUUGGCCUACUGCAAGUUAGCUUAAAGUUGUAGCACAAGGAGUAACUUAACUUUCCAUGCAAUUUUAGUUGCAAGCAUCUAGAAAAGUUUGUUAGCUGGAAUGUGCACCUUGAACCGUGUAUGGCUCUAUUUAUAGGACUCCAAACUAUCUAUUAUUUUAUAAAGAUAUGAAAGGAAAUAUUUUUCCUAGAAUUGUUUAUUUUGCAAGUUAUAUUAGUAUAGAUUAUUAAUGUACCCUUAUAUUUCUUUCAAAAUACUAUAUUUGCC
rnacentral:lncRNA from 1 species